CUUGGUCAUUUAGAGGAAGUAAAAGUCGUAACAAGGUUUCCGUAGGUGAACCUGCGGAAGGAUCAUUACAGAGUUAGGGUCUUCCAGGCCCGACCUCCCAACCCUUUGAUUAUUGAACCUCUGUUGCUUCGACGGACCCGUCUUCAUGGACCGCCGGAGGAUCGCGCCUCAGCGUCCUCUGGCCCGCGUCCGUCGAUAGCCAACCUAUUAAACUCUUAACUAAUCGUGUCAUAUGUCUAAGCAAGUAUUAAAUUAAAGCAAAACUUUCAACAACGGAUCUCUUGGUUCUGGCAUCGAUGAAGAACGCAGCGAAAUGCGAUAAGUAAUGCGAAUUGCAGAAUUCCAGUGAGUCAUCGAAUCUUUGAACGCACAUUGCGCCCUUUGGAAUUCCGAAGGGCAUGCCUGUUCGAGCGUCAUUAUCACCCCUCAAGCCCUCGGCUUGGUGUUGGACGGUUUGGUGGAGACCCCCCUCGGGUGGGCUUUCUACCCCUCCCAAAGACAAUGACGGCGGCCUCGUUGGACCCCCGGUACACUGAGUUCUUCACGGGACACGUAUCGGACACAUGGGUUUACGGGACACGGUCUGCCUCCCCUCAGGGAGAAUCUUUUUUUAUCAAGGUUGACCUCGGAUCAGGUAGGGAUACCCGCUGAACUUAAGCAUAUCAAUAAGCGGAGGA
rnacentral:rRNA from 1 species